rnacentral:rRNA from 1 species
CAGCCGCCACGGUAAGACGAACCGUGCGAACGUUAUUCGGAAUCAUUGGGCUUAAAGCGCGUGUAGGCGGAUGGGAACGUCGGUCGCUGAAAUACCCCGGCUCAACCGGGGAACUGGCAUCGAAACGACCCGUCUCGAGGGGCAUAGGGGGAGCUGGAACUUCCGGUGGAGCGGUGAAAUGCGUUGAGAUCGGAAGGAACGCCCGUGGCGAAAGCGAGCUCCUGGAUGUCUUCUGACGCUGAGACGCGAAAGCUAGGGUAGCGAACGGGAUUAGAUACCCGGGUAGUCCCUGUCUCUUAUA